rnacentral:lncRNA from 1 species
AGCCUUUCUCAUAGCAUUUGCGGACACUUUCACCCACCUUUGCCACCUUUUCAUAUAACUGUUUGAUGGAUACUUGAUUACCACAGGCACGAACGAAUUCCCGUGCGACUGGAAUUUUUAGCUUCUCAAAUACGUCGAGCUUUUGCUUUCCAUGAUGAUAAGGGCCUAUCAAAACUACGAGAGGAUCAUAACAUUCUUCGUUGCAUGGUUUGUCACGCAUCAAUGAUGGAAUCCUUUGUAUUUGGGUUUUGUCUGUUGUGUCGUCAACAUAGUUCCC